UCAAUAAAGGAAUGUGGGACAGUCAAUGAUUAGCCAGCACAGGAAACCACUGUGUGUGUGAGUGGGAAUUGAGUGCUAGGGGUUGGCUAGGCAGGUGAUGGAUGAACCAAGGUACUCAACGGUGCGUGCAGGAGAUGAUGAUAAACCUACAGACGAGUGAUCGAAAGGAGCCCCUAACGGCCUUAGGUCAGAGGCGAAUGAGAGAAGAAGAGAGCAAGUGAUCCUGUGGUGGAGCCUUUGACUCCGUGGGGAAGCUGCACGGAACAGAAUUGAAGGCAUCUCAUAGUGAGGGGCAGAGUCUAAUUUUAUAGUCCAGGAUGACCUCAAACUUGUGACCCAUCUGCUUUGGUUUCCUGAGUGCUGGAGUCUCAGAAUUUGGGCCUGCAGUUCCUGCAACUUUGGGCUCUUAUGUCUUGGAAGUCUUGGUUUCCAAGACAGGAAGUCUAUGGGAGGCAACACAAAGUUUCCACUGGAUUGAGGAGGACUGAUCCAAUCACAGAGAGAGGGUUGAUUGCUGACCGAAUGAGGACAAGGACGGCCUCACCGCUGUCUUUGACUCAUGGUCUAAAGUCUUCUGCCUGAUUCCCACUCCUGGGCAUCUCACUGGUGACUACAAGGCCUUUUCACCACGUCAAAGGCUGAGUUGAGAGUCUGAUCAGCCAGACUGAUUCCAGACAAUAGAGUUGGGAGUUCUAGGCUUCCCACAGGCCUCUGUCAGCAUCGGGCUCGGUUCAGAUGUCUGCCUGUGAAGGCUGGGUCAGUACAGUAAAGCUUUCUUUGCUUAUGGUGACCCCCCCACCCCCGUCCUUCCCACCUGUCCUCCACUUUCCGUCCCAUCUAGAAGGUUCUAUUUUUAUAGCAAAGUGCUUUCAUGAGAACCACCCACUGCUACUGGUCUCCGAACCAAAAGCUCUCUCGACAUUUAUUUUAUUGUACUUUUAUUUCAUCUAGUUUUGAAUGAGGGUACACCUUCAUUAUUUCAAAAGCUUUCAAAAACCUAUGAACUAAUAAGAAAUAAAACAAGCUCUAUUCCCAUUCUUUCCCCCAUCACCCAAAUGCCUUCCCUC
rnacentral:lncRNA from 1 species